UCCAUACUCCCUUCUUCUUAAAAUACUUGUCUUAAAUUUGUUUAAAUAUAAAUGUAUCUAGUCAUGUUAUAGUAUUUAGAUACAUUUAUUUUUAGAUAAAUCUAAGACAAAUUUUUUGAAACGGAGCUAGUACAUU
rfam:Hordeum vulgare subsp. vulgare, WGS project CAJW01000000 data, contig: morex_contig_245314